UACGAGGGGGGCAAAUGUUGUUCGGAAUCACUGGGCGUAAAGGGAGCGUAGGCGGGUUCUUAAGUUAGGUGUUUAAUCCUGGGGCCCAACCCCAGUCGUGCACCUAAAACUGGACAUCUUGAAUAGUGGAGAGGUCAGUGGAAUUGGGGGUGUAGCGGUGGAAUGCGUAGAGAUCCCCAAGAACACCAGUUGCGAAGGCGGCUGACUGGACACAUAUUGACGCUGAGGCUCGAAAGCAUGGGGAGCAAACAGG
rnacentral:rRNA from 1 species